UUUAACUUUAAUUUGAAUUCCAAUUUUUAUCCGACUUUUUCUCUACAUUUUUUUAUCUCUCAUCAAUCAAUAAAAUCUACCACUUCUUUUCAGUUAUCUCUUUAUUACUCACCACGAUUUCUCAUGGUGUAACUAUCAUGGCUAUCACUCUUUGUAAAGCAUACAAGUAAUCAACUCUCUAUUAUUUUGAAGUGGCUGUCUCUUUUAUUGAAGAAUGUGGCUCCAUUCUCUAUAUAGAGCUCUCUUUCUUUUUAUUUACCAAUAUAAUCUCUGAUCAGAAAUUUUUUAUGUUUUUCAUUGCGAAAUUGGAAUCUCUAGUCAUAUCUUUGAUUUACGUUGAAUCGAAUUUGGGAUUCUGCAAUAUUCUUUAUGCCUUGUAGAUUUUAUCAAAAAGCUAUAUGAUUAUGCGGUACUCUUAGCAAGACUAACCAAUUUCAAGUAGAAUUGCCUUUUGUUAUAAUGCAGGAGAAUUGGCAUCCAAUUGCAGAAACAGAUUCUUUCGUUUCAGGUUGCUCUUUUCUUUGCUUUCUUAAUGAUGAUGUCUUAUAUUUUACUUUGGCAUAUAAUUUAGUACUCUGAUGCAGGGAUGAAGUGUGAAGCACAAACCUCCAGGUUAACAUGAAAAUAAAGACGGACCAUUUACAACAAGUUCUCAUAAGUUAGUGGACAUCUACAGCUUCUAUUAAAUUUGGAGCUCGCCGGAAUAUAUUUUGAUAGUUUUUUUUUUUUUGUAAUUUACAGUUUUUAUUUUCAAUUUUGUAAAUAAUAUUAAAGAUAUGAGUGUAUAGAUAAACGAAAAAUUGUCAUUUUUUUUAUCAAAUAUAUAUAUGUUAUUGAUUGA